rnacentral:rRNA from 1 species
UACGUAGGGUGCAAGCGUUAAUCGGAAUUACUGGGCGUAAAGCGUGCGCAGGCGGUUUUGUAAGUCUGUCGUGAAAGCCCCCGGGCUCAACCUGGGGAAUUGCGAUGGAGACUGCAAGGCUUGAAUCUGGCAGAGGGGGGGUAGAAUUCCACGUGUAGCAGUGAAAUGCGUAGAGAUGGGGGGAGAACACUCGUGGCGAAGGCGGCCAGCUAGACCAGUUCUGACACUGAGGCGCGACAGCGUGGGGAGCAAACAGG